ACUUGUGUUAGAGCAACAUAGAAAGGAAUUAGUGGUGUCACCAUGAACUAGGGGAUAAACUUUUUUUUAAAAAAUUAAUACAUUGAUUUUUUGUGGGUAUAGGUGUUUUGCCUGCAUGUUUGUCUGUGCACCACAGGUGUGCCUAGUGUCUGAGGAGGCCAGAAGAGGGCGUCAGAUCCUCUAAGACUGGAGCUGGGAAUCCAGGCCUUCUGGAAGAGCAGUUAGUGCUCUUAACUGAGGAGCAGUCUUUGACACGUUUCUCCGUAGCUUUGGAGCCUGUCCUGGACCGCACUGUAGACCAGAGGCUGGUCUAGAAGAGAUGCACCUGUCUCUGCCUCCCAAACACUGGGAUUAAAGGUGGGUGCCACCACU